AGCCUGAUGCAGCCAUGCCGCGUGUAUGAAGAAGGCCUUCGGGUUGUAAAGUACUUUCAGCAGUGAGGAAGGCGGAGUCGUUAAUAGCGGCCUCGUUUGACGUUAGCUGCAGAAGAAGCACCGGCUAACUCCGUGCCAGCAGCCGCGGUAAUACGGAGGGUGCGAGCGUUAAUCGGAAUUACUGGGCGUAAAGCGCAUGCAGGUGGUUUGUUAAGUCAGAUGUGAAAGCCCGGGGCUCAACCUCGGAAUUGCAUUUGAAACUGGCAGACUAGAGUACUGUAGAGGGGGGUAGAAUUUCAGGUGUAGCGGUGAAAUGCGUAGAGAUCUGAAGGAAUACCGGUGGCGAAGGCGGCCCCCUGGACAGAUACUGACACUCAGAUGCGAAAGCGUGGGGAGCAAACAGGAUUAGAUACCCUGGUAGUCCACGCCGUAAACGAUGUCUACUUGGAGGUUGUGGCCUUGAGCCGUGGCUUUCGGAGCUAACGCGUUAAGUAGACCGCCUGGGGAG
rnacentral:rRNA from 2 species